rnacentral:rRNA from 1 species
CAUGCAAGUCGAGCGGAGACAGUGAGUAGCUUGCUAUGAGCUGUUUUAGCGGCGGACGGGUGAGUAACGCGUGAGCAACCUUUCCCAGACAGGGGAAUAACACACCGAAAGGUGUACUAAUACCGCAUAAGACCACGGAAUCACAUGGUUCUGAGGUAAAAGAUUUAUCGGUUUGGGGUGGGCUCGCGUCCGAUUAGGUAGUUGGUGAGGUAACGGCCCACCAAGCCGACGAUCGGUAGCCGACCUGAGAGGGUGAUCGGCCACAUUGGGACUGAGACACGGCCCAAACUCCUACGGGAGGCAGCAGUGGGGAAUAUUGGGCAAUGGAGGAAACUCUGACCCAGCAGCGCCGCGUGGAGGAAGAAGGUUUUCGGAUCGUAAACUCCUGUCCUUGGAGACGAGUAGAAGACGGUAUCCAAGGAGGAAGCCCCGGCUAACUACGUGCCAGCAGCCGCGGUAAUACGUAGGGGGCAAGCGUUGUCCGGAAUAAUUGGGCGUAAAGGGCGCGUAGGCGGCUCAGUAAGUCUGGAGUGAAAGUCCUGCUUUUAAGGUGGGAAUUGCUUUGGAUACUGUCGGGCUUGAGUGCAGGAGAGGUUAGUGGAAUUCCCAGUGUAGCGGUGAAAUGCGUAGAGAUUGGGAGGAACACCAGUGGCGAAGGCGACUAACUGGACUGUAACUGACGCUGAGGCGCGAAAGUGUGGGGAGCAAACAGGAUUAGAUACCCUGGUAGUCCACACUGUAAACGAUGAAUGCUAGGUGUAGGGG